AGGAGGAGGUCAGAGGAGCCGGGAGAGGGUGAUACAUUUCGGCGCCCAAGUGAGGACGAGUGGUGAGGCGCCAACCGAGGAGACACCAGCGCUGCCGCCGUGGGAGGGGCGCGUGACGGCCGUGUUGAGAAAGGGCGAGAGAGUCGGGGGGAAGAGACUGGCGUAAAGCAGGGUCCAAUCCAGCGGAUGACGAGACGAGGGUCCCUGACUGCCAGAGUGCCAAGGAUGAGUGAGGAGGCGGCUGCCCUGGCGGCCGGGGAUGCUACGGCGCCAAAGAGACACCCACCUGGAGACAGCACGUUAUAAGAGAAGAUGGCGCCACUAUAAACACUUGCCUGCGCCAUGACGGGCUGGGGCCGACUACCAUCCAGGCCCCUCAAGAAAGCCUACCGGCGCUAUAGGCGUACAUGUAAAAAGAAAAAAAGAAAAAAAAAAA